rnacentral:rRNA from 1 species
GAUGAACGCUGGCGGUGUGCCUUAGGCAUGCAAGUCGAACGGGAUAGCAAUAUCCAGUGGCAGACGGGUGAGUAACGCGUAGGAAUCUACCUCGUAGCGGGGAAUAGCCAACCGAAAGGUUGGGUAAUACCGCAUAAUCCCUCCGGGGGAAAGUCGUAAGACACUAUGAGAGGAGCCUGCGUACUAUCAGCUAGUUGGUGGGGUAACGGCCUACCAAGGCUACGACGGUUAGCCGAUGUGAGAGCAUGAUCGGCCACAAGGUUACUGAGACACGGAACCUACACCUACGGGUGGCAGCAACCGGGAAUUUUGCGCAAUGGGGGAAACCCUGACGCAGCGACACCGCGUGUGGGAAGACGCUUUUCGGAGUGUAAACCACUGUGGCGAGGGAAAAAGUACUGAUUGUACCUCGCAAGAAAGCACUAGCUAACUACGUGCCAGAAGCUUCGGUAAUACGUAGAGUGCAAGCGUUAUCCGGAUUUACUGGGCGUAAAGGGUCCGUCGGUGUCUUGGCGCGUUUCUUGUUUAAGCCUGGGGCUCAACUCCAGUUCGGCAAGGAAAACGGCCAAGAUAGAGUCUGUUCGAGGAAGCCGGAAUUCUUGGUGGAGGGGUGAAAUCCGUAGAUAUCAAGAGGAACACCAUGCGCGAAGGCGGGCUUCUAGGACAGUACUGACACUCAGGGACGAAAGCUUGGGGAUCAAAGCGGAUUAGAGACCCGCGUAGUCCAAGCAGUAAAUGUUGCUCGCUAGCUCCACUGACCUUGUGUUGGUGGGGCGUAAGCUAACGCGUUAAGCGAGCCGCCUGGGGAGUACGGCCGCAAGGCUAAAACUCAAAGGAAUUGACGGGGGAGCGCACAACCGGUGGAGCAUGUGGUUUAAUUCGAUACGAAGCGAAAAACCUUACCCGGGUUUGACAUGUACCUGCACGGUCUUGGAAACAGGAUCUUCUUCGAGAGUGGUACACAGGUGAUGCAUGGCUGUCGUCAGCUCGUGUCGUGAGACGUCCACUUAAGUGUGGUAACGAGCGCAACCCUUGCCGUAUGUUAUAUAUCUCAUACGGGACUGCCCCCGCUUUGCGGGGGAGGAAGGAGAGGACGACGUCAAGUCAGCACGUCCCUUACAUCCGGGGCUACACACAUCCUACAAUGGAGCCGACAACAGGUCGCAACGGGGUAACCCUAAGCUAAUCCUAAUAAACGGCUCCUCAGUUCAGAUUGAGGGCUGCAAUUCGCCCUCAUGAAGUCGGAAUCGGUAGUAAUCGCAAAUCAGCAGGUUGCGGUGAAUACGUUCUCGCUCCUUGUACACACUGCCCGUCAAGCCAGCAAAGUCAGCGGCGCCCGAAGCGGGUGACCUGAACCCUUACGGGACAGGCCCCUCUACGGCGAAGUUGGCGAUGAGGACU